AUAAGAGAGCACCUUACAGAACCAUACAUCCUAUCAUAAACCUGAAGGAGCCACACAGCAGCAGCAGCUGUUCAACUAACACACCCACCUCAACAAUCUGGGGCUGAAAAAUAAAAUCCAAAUCACAAAUAUAGAUUUGAGGGGAAAUGACAAUGCACACAGUGGCUUUCCCUCCUUUCUCUGCUUGCUGUUUUCAUUCCUGCCACCCCUCCCUCUCCCACUGCUCCCAGAUGACCUCUGCCCUAGUGGGAUUCAUCACGAGUGCCAAAGAGGAAGCCCAAAUCGCAGCUUCAAAUGAAUCUAUCUGUGUUUGCAAACACUGAAGAUCUCCCUCCCCACAACAAACAGAUAGAAGUCGAUUUCUGAAAACGCGGCUGAAAUUCCAGUCCCGUAUUGUUACGCUCCUCUGCUCUCAAGACUAACUGCUCUCAGUUUCCCCCUCUUUUAUUUACCACGUCAUCCUCUGAAAACAUCCCUCAUCACUGGGUUGAUUCCAUGUUUCAUACAACAGUGUAAUGUAAUGCUCCUCCAGGAUUGCGUCAGAACCCAAAAUGGAUCCUCACAUGAUCGGGGUGCCAGUGCCCAGGUCCGCCAAAGACACUUUCUCAUGAGGAUCCCCAGCCAGAACAAGCUCGACAACUGCUGCUAUGGUAUAAACUCCAUGUAUAAAAGAUGAGGAUUGCCUUUUUAUAACACAGAGCAAGCAGAGCUGCCUAGCAGGAAGUACACCACACAUCCCACACUUGUUCCCUACGGCUGGAAACUGGCAGCAGGCUUGAAAGAAGAGGACGCUGGUGCCAUUCUCCCUCCAGCUAGUCCAUCUUCAACCUACCAUUGUUGGUUAUUUUAUUUUUUGUGAACAUAGUGGCUUAGGUUGGUCGGUAUUUCCUUCCACUGCAUGCUGUGUGGUGUCAUUUUCUCUGUAUUUAUUCUGUGUACUUAUUUUCUCGUCUAGUUUCUUGCCUGAAAUGCACUUAAAGUAUCACCUGUCAGGUUCACGUAUCUCUCACUCAUUUUCUCUUCCACAUUUUUGUUUUGUUUUGUUUGUCAGGGCACCCCACAGCUCCCUAUUUGCUAACAUAUAGUCCCACAUGCCCAUAUGCAAAGCAAGGCCUUGAUAGCUUUGAUGAUUUCUGCAGGAUUGUAAAAUUGUUCACCAUUUUACUGUGAUUCCAGAUGAGUGCACAAACAAGUUCUUCUAGCUGUCAUAAAGAGGCCGUUUCAGUGCAGCCAUGUGGAUGUCUCAGUGCACACAUUCCCACUGUUUGUCAUGUGUAACUCUGUUUUCUAGCAUGAACAUUAGUCCCUUCAUGAGCAUGUGACACAGAUCACAACAUCCAGAAGCGCAUGCUAAGCUCUAGGGGUUAAAGAGAGCACAUAGCAUGUGACUGCUGGAUCAUACGUGACGAUAAGCAAGCAAUGGAGAUGAGAUAUAUUGUUAUUGAAUGUGUAUUUGUGACACACUGCUAACUAUGUAUUGUAUAGCAUCUGUCAAUAUUAAGAAUAUUGAUGUGGCUGUAUUGUGUAGUAGCUUUUGACCAGAGCUGAGAUUUCACUCUCAUGAUAACAAAUAAACCAUAUCGGUCACAUUGUGCAAACAUGUGACUUAACAUGUUA